UGGGGAAUUUUGGACAAUGGGCGAAAGCCUGAUCCAGCAAUGCCGCGUGUGUGAAGAAGGCCUUCGGGUUGUAAAGCACUUUUGUCCGGAAAGAAAUCCUUGGCUCUAAUACAGUCGGGGGAUGACGGUACCGGAAGAAUAAGCACCGGCUAACUACGUGCCAGCAGCCGCGGUAAUACGUAGGGUGCAAGCGUUAAUCGGAAUUACUGGGCGUAAAGCGUGCGCAGGCGGUUUGCUAAGACCGAUGUGAAAUCCCCGGGCUCAACCUGGGAACUGCAUUGGUGACUGGCAGGCUAGAGUAUGGCAGAGGGGGGUAGAAUUCCACGUGUAGCAGUGAAAUGCGUAGAGAUGUGGAGGAAUACCGAUGGUGAAGGCAGCCCCCUGGGCCAAUACUGACGCUCAUGCACGAAAGCGUGGGGAGCAAACAGGAUUAGAUACCCUGGUAGUCCACGCCCUAAAACGAUGUCAACUAGUUGUUGGGGAUUCAUUUCCUUAGUAACGUAGCUAACGCGUGAAGUUGACCGCCU
rnacentral:rRNA from 1 species